rnacentral:rRNA from 1 species
AGUGAACGCUGGCGGCAGGCCUAACACAUGCAAGUCGAACGGCAGCACAGGGGAGCUUGCUCCCUGGGUGGCGAGUGGCGGACGGGUGAGGAAUGCGUCGGAAUCUGCCUUUUCGUGGGGGAUAACGUAGGGAAACUUACGCUAAUACCGCAUACGACCUACGGGGGAAAGCCGGGGACCUUCGGGCCUGGCGCGGAAAGAUGAGCCGACGUCGGAUUAGCAGGUUGGAGGGGUAACGGCCCACCAAGGCGACGAUCCGUAGCUGGUCUGAGGGGAUGAUCAGCCACACUGGGACUGAGACACGGCCCAGACUCCUACGGGAGGCAGCAGUGGGGAAUAUUGGACAAUGGGCGCAAGCCUGAUCCAGCCAUGCCGCGUGUGUGAAGAAGGCCUUCGGGUUGUAAAGCACUUUUGUACGGGAAGAAAAGCCCCGGGUUAAUACCCUGGGGUCAUGACGGUACCGUAAGAAUAAGCACCGGCUAACUUCGUGCCAGCAGCCGCAGUAA